rnacentral:lncRNA from 15 species
AACAAUGAGUCAAUCUCACUCAGACUCAGUAGCGGAAGAUAUUUAAUUUAUAUUUUACUUCAUGAACUCAAGCACCUUUUUAAUAAAAGAACAGGCAUGAGUGGAUUAAAGGAUUACAGUCUCAAGAACUCAAUGACUGCUGAUGUAGUGGUGGGUGAGGGUUAAGGGUUGAAAGGCAUUUUUGAUCCUACAAAGAAGUCAAGCGUCGCCAAAGCUAUCUUAACAAUUAUGUAAAAGCAGGUUUGACAAGUGAGGCUCUUGUGUUGCAGCUGUUGCUUAUGGCUGUCCUCUCUCUCUCUCUCUCUUUCUUUUCUUUGAGAAGCCAGGAAUCUACAACAUUGGAGAGAAGGCAAGACUCUUUUCAAUGAGAGUAGUGGGAAUUAAGAGAGUGACCUCUGCACCCUGAUUUCAUCAUCCAAGGCCCAGCCCAGCCCAGGAUCUCUCAGAUUAUUUAUGAGAAAUAUGUUAUAUCUUUGUUGAAGCCCGUGUUGCUGUUUUUUUAUGACCUUGUUUCAUUAUCAUUGUUUUGUGUCUGGUUCCAUUAAAGAUUAACUUAUUUUAUCUAGUAACAAGUCUGUGAUGUAUGCAGUCGCUGAUGCUUGGCCCCGCCCACUACACUGGCCAGCCAAUAGAAAAGCGCGCUGAGUCUUUAUUUCCCACCCUCCCUUGCUGGUUUGCCUGAUCGUGAGGAAGUUUUUCUGCACUUCACCGGUCAGGAAGGUGGCGGUAGUGAAUGGCUUGACGGCUCAUUGUAAAUAAAAACGGAUGGCUGACUCGGCGUCCCUGGAGGACACGCUGCCCGAUGAGGAGAGGGAGUUUCGGAAGAUCAUAGGUUUGAUCGGAGGUAAAGAGAGGAUUCAUUUGGUGAGUGAUCAAUGUCAAAGUAAACAGGUGGACGGAGAUGACGCUGAGAUAUUGCAAGAGUUCCUCCGUGAAAUGUUCCCUGGCAGCCUGGCGAACAGCAACGGGCAGCCCCUCUCCUCUCCGUCAAACGGCGAUAAUGCAAGUGAAAAACACGUAUGUUUCAAGCCAGAGACUGAUAAAAUCAACGAGAUACAUCUUACAGAGAGGCCCAAAGAUUUGGACUUGAGAGCCUGUCCUGUGAGAGAGGACGGGGAGAAGGAGGAGCGGUCAACGCGCAAUGGCAACGCUCAGAAAACAGCAACGCGGAGGGCAAACAUUUACAGCCGAGAGCGAACCAUUGAUUCUGCUGUCAUCAUAUUCAUCUUCAGGCAGACAUUUCUCAGCAAAAAUACAAACGAACUGUGCUUAAAGGAGAUCUUGAAGGACGUAAAGGCGCGUACGAAACGUGCCAGAAUCGCCCGACCAGCUUUGAUUGGAUUAAUACGCACCAGACAGGAGAGCGCCGAGACGCAUCAGUGUGCGCAACUCCUGGAGCGUCUGAUCCGCUCAGUGUUCCACAAACAUUCACCAGAGACCGUGUGGGUCGGCUGUUUCAUCCCGGAGACACAAACCCAAAUAAUCAGCAUCAAGAAAAACGCCUGCAAAGUUAUAAACUCAUCUCAAACAGCAGAUAAUACCAGGGAUACAGGGAACUCGCUUUUCUGGCCAUUCCAAUGUUUGUUCUGGCCUCAGAGAAGAAGAGCCGGAGGCCAGGCCAAUGACUCUUCAACCAGCAGGAAAAGAGGUGAUACUGGAAAUAUAGAGGAAAGCAUCCCUCUGCAAACCAAUUCCUUGUCUGCUGUACCUCGUGUGGAUGGAGAAUCAGCUGGAGGAGACAGCUGAUGACAGGACACAUGACCUGGGGCUGGAGGCAUAUCACUGUAGACAGUCCUAUUUUUACUGUGAAAUUGGCCUCAUGGUGCUACAGAGCCUUUCUACAUGUUUACAGUGUUCCUUUGUGGUGCUCAGUAUUCCCACUGCUGAGCCAACAUGAUUCUUGUCCUGAAGCAGUAUGUUGCUAAAUAGUCGCUGUUGCCAUCUUGCUUUUUUUACACAUUGUCUUUGAUGUACAAUGGUUAGUCACAAAGAGAUACUGUGACCAGUUAGUCAUAUGUUGUGCUAUUCUCUUUGGGGUUUUUUUCCACCUAGAUAGAGAUUUACCUGCAUAUUUCACUAGGCUUACAGCAGAAGUACUCCUUUUUAAAAUGAUGCUGAACACUGGAUUACCUACUGGCCCCAGAACGGUGGCUUCAAGAACCCAAGGCUUCUUGUGUGUCAUCUGGUUUGUGCUAAUUGUAUUGACAAUUAAUUGAGAAUAAACACUGCCAAAUCACAACAUCAACUGACAUAAUAAGGUCUUGCUUCUUUAAUAGGGGCCCAGCAGCUUCUUUUUUUUUUUUGCCCCUGAGCCCCCCAGCAGGUUAAUCCAGCCAUGGUCAAUCUUUUCUUUUUUUCACUUUCAUUUAUUAGAAUUGUGUGCCUUAGAUGAGUGCUAUUGAUAAAAGCAUUAUCUGUUAAAAUAAAAAAAAAAGGAUGACAAUACUUUUCACUUUUUGUGUUAUGUAUGUAGGCUUCUGGUCUAGACAGACAGACAGACAGACAGACAGACAGAUAUACUUUAUUAAUCCUCGAAGGGAAAUUGGGUCGUCAUAGCAGCCAGGUACAUUUAAAUACAAUAAAAUACAACAAUAGAAUAAAAUACUUGGGUAGAAAAGAUUAAAAAAAAGAUAAACAGGUAGAUAAGGUGUAAAGAAGGUGUAGUUGCACGAUGGUAGUAAUAGUACUGAAUAUUAGUCUGUACAUUUAUAAUAUAGCCUAAAUAUAUAAAUAAACACAUUAAAGCUUGUGUGCAUUGAAAAGAACAUUAACUUUCAACAGACUACAAAUAGGACAGUGGGGGAUCUGGUUAGUGACUGAGUAUAAAUAAAUGAAUUAACCCUGUACUGUCAUUUAUUUACUGAGCCCUGCAUGACAGCCACGUUAAUGUCCAAGGACCCCAUUUGUUAGGCAACCAACCACCAACAGCGACAGAAAGGCAAAAGAACUGAUUCACGAUAGACCACCAUCAGAAAAGCCCGUCCAUAAAUCGGAUACGUUCAAUUAAUCUAUCCCCAUAAUAUAUAUUUUUUUUACAUUAGAUGAAAACUAAAUGAAAACAAAUGUUUUAAGGUACUACGAAUUGACGCGACCCUGCGAAGAUACAAUGGCUACUAUUAUAUUUAUGUGUAUUUUCAAUCAGGCUUAAAAGAGGCCUGCCUGCUCGGAGGUCCUUGUACAACGGACUUGCGGUACCGGACAAAAAGGAGUUAGCAGCGGCUGCGUUUGGUUCCACUGCUGUGCAUUUUCAGACACUACAAACCUUUUAUUUUCCUUAUCUUCCCGAAACAAUCGCACGGAUUCCCGCCGUCGAACCAGGAUCGUGGGGCUGAG